rnacentral:lncRNA from 1 species
GCAAUGGGGUUGAAGGGAACGGCAGCGCCGAAUCCAAGGUCCCACAGACCGCCUUGGAGAGUCCGCAGCCAAAAGAUGUAGACAGUGGGCUCACCCCUGGCGCUGCACCUGGCGCUGCACCUGCCGCUGCACCUGGCGCUGCACCUGGCGCUGCACCUGCCGCUGUCGGGGCGGCGACUGCGGCUGAGGAGGUCGAUGUGCUUAGCAUAUCUGUCGUACCCGAGUACGAUCAGUACGGAUUGG